AGCAUUCAAAACUACGGUGAAAACCUGUGUGUUAUACAGUCACUUUCUCACAGUGCCUGAUCAAAUUUAUUUUUCCUUUUUCAAGAUAUAUUUAAGCGUCCAGUGAAAGGAAGGCAGGAGGAUGCUCACGAGUUCCUCAGGUUACUGGGAGAACAUGUGAUAAGUGACUUUCUACAGCAUCGUGACUAUGCAACUACAUCUACUAUGUAAUUAUUUUGACACAAUGACAAUAUUUCAUUAAGGAAUUGAAAGUGUUAUGCCAAACUAACUAUACAUUUUAUCUAACAAACAGAUUAGAUAAGGACAGUGCCAGAACAACUGCAUGGGACCAGAUAUUUGGAUUUUACAUAAAAUCAACAGUUACUUGUAAUAAAUGUGGGUCUGAGUCGGAAACAAUAGACCAUUACCAAGACCUGAGUAUUCCUACUAAACUUAAAACCCUCCAGGGUGAACUGAACCAUUAUUUCAAAACAUCUACUAUAGAGUACACCUGCAGCAUAUGCAACCAAAAAAGGAAUAAGGCACGUAAAAGCAUAUCGGUAGAGAGAGCUACGAAAGUUUUUAGUAUCCAGCUCAAAAGAUUCAACAACAGAAUGAGCAAGGAUAAUUCAGAGGUGUCCAUACCAUCUCAGCUUUUGCUCAAUUCCAGGUUCCAAUAUAAAAUACCAGGCAUUAUUUAUCACAUUAGGGAAAACCUGAACUCAGGCCACUACAAGGCAGUG